UUCGGAUUGUAGUCUGNAACCCGACUACAUGAAGCUGGAAUCGCUAGUAAUCGCGGAUCAGAAUGCCGCGGUGAAUACGUUCCCGGGUCUUGUACACACCGCCCGUCACACCAUGGGAGUCGGAAAUGCCCGAAGUCUGUGACCUAACCGCAAGGGAGGAGCAGCCGAAGGCAGGUCGGAUGACUGGGGUGAAGUCGUAACAAGGUACC
rnacentral:rRNA from 1 species